rnacentral:ncRNA from 1 species
CAAAGGUUUGGUCCUGACUUUACUAUCAAUUUUAGCCCAACUUAUACAUGCAAGUAUCCGCGCCCCGGUGAGAAUGCCCUACAAUUCCCUACUAGGGAACAAGGAGCCGGUAUCAGGCACAAGAAACCAAAGCCCACGACACCUUGCUCAUAGCCACAACCCCAAGGGGCCCCCUCCAGCAGUAACAAACAUUAAGCAAUAAGUGAAAACUUGACUUAGCCAAGGCUAAGAGGGCCGGUAAAACUCGUGCCAGCCACCGCGGUUAUACGGGAUGGCCCAAAUUGACAGGUGUCGGCGUAAAGGGUGGUUAUGAUUUUAAUAAGAUAAAGACAAAUGCCUUCAGAGCUGUACUACGCAAUUGAAGGUGAGGAAGCCCGACUACGAAAGUGACUUUAAAAAUUCCGACCCCACGAAAGCUGAGACCCAAACUGGGAUUAGAGACCCCACUAUGCCCAGCCCUAAACUAUGAUAAUGAACAACCCCCGUUAUCCGCCCGGGAACUACAACCGCAAGAUUGAAACCCAAAGGACUUGGCGGUGCUUUAGACCCCCUAGAGGAGCCUGUUCUAGAACCGAUGAUCCCCGUUCAACCUCACCCUUUCUUGCUCCCCCCGCCUGUAUACCUCCGUCGUCAGCUUACCCUGUAAAGGCCCAACAGUAAGCAAAAUAGGCAACCCCCCCCCACGUCAGGUCAAGGUGCAGCGAAUGAAAGGGAAGAAAUGGGCUACAUUCCCUAACAAAGUGCACACGGAUAGGACGGCUGAAACGUGUUCUUGAAGAAGGAUUUAGCAGUAAGCACAAAAUAGAGCGUUGUACUGAACCUGGACCUAAGGCACGUACACACCGCCCGUCACUCUCCCCCAAACAAUAGACUAAAUAAUUAAACCACCAUUAAAAGCUAAAGGGGAGGCAAGUCGUAACAUGGUAAGUGUACCGGAAGGUGUACUUGGUAAAG